rnacentral:rRNA from 1 species
ACGCCUUAUACAUGCAAGUCGAACGAAGUAGCAAUACUUAGUGGCAGACGGGUGAGUAACAUGUAGGUAUCUUCCCUUUGGUGAGGAAUAACACGAGGAAACUUGUGCUAAUACCUCAUAAGUCUUAACGGAGAAAGCUUUAUGCGCCGAAGGAUGAGCCUGCACUUGAUUAGUUUGUUGGUGGGGUAAUGGCCUACCAAGACUUUGAUCUAUAGCUGAUCUGAGAGGAUGAUCAGCCACAUUGGGACUGAGACACGGCCCAAACUCCUACGGGAGGCAGCAGUAGGGAAUAUUGCACAAUGGAGGAAACUCUGAUGCAGCGAUGCCGCGUGAGUGAAGAAGGCCUUUGGGUUGUAAAGCUCUUUCGUCGGGGAAGAAAAUGACUGUACCCGAAUAAGAAGGUCCGGCUAACUUCGUGCCAGCAGCCGCGGUAAUACGAAGGGACCUAGCGUAGUUCGGAAUUACUGGGCUUAAAGAGUUCGUAGGUGGUUAAAAAAGUUGGUGGUGAAAUCCCAGAGCUUAACUCUGGAACUGCCAUCAAAACUUUUUAGCUAGAGUAUGAUAGAGGAAAGCAGAAUUUCUAGUGUAGAGGUGAAAUUCGUAGAUAUUAGAAAGAAUACCAAUUGCGAAGGCAGCUUUCUGGAUCAUUACUGACGCUGAGGAACGAAAGCAUGGGUAGCGAAGAGGAUUAGAUACCCUCGUAGUCCAUGCCGUAAACGAUGUGUGUUAGACGUUGGAAAUUUAUUUUCAGUGUCGCAGCGAAAGCAUUAAACACACCGCCUGGGGAGUACGACCGC